GAUGAACGCUAGCUACAGGCUUAACACAUGCAAGUCGAGGGGAAACGCCAUCGAAAGCUUGCUUUUGAUGGGCGUCGACCGGCGCACGGGUGAGUAACGCGUAUCCAACCUGCCCAUCACUUGGGGAUAACCUUGCGAAAGUAAGACUAAUACCCAAUGAUAUCUCUAGAAGACAUCUGAAAGAGAUUAAAGAUUUAUCGGUGAUGGAUGGGGAUGCGUCUGAUUAGCUUGUUGGCGGGGUAACGGCCCACCAAGGCAACGAUCAGUAGGGGUUCUGAGAGGAAGGUCCCCCAGAUUGGAACUGAGACACGGUCCAAACGCCUACGGGAGGCAGCAGUGAGGAAUAGUGGUCAAUGGGCGAGAGCCUGAACCAGCCAAGUAGCGUGCAGGAAGACGGCCCUAUGGGUUGUAAACUGCUUUUAUAAGGGAAUAAAGUGAGAGUCGUGACUCUUUUUGUAUGUACCUUAUGAAUAAGGACCGGCUAAUUCCGUG
rnacentral:rRNA from 1 species